UACGGAGGGUGCAAGCGUUAAUCGGAGUUACUGGGCUGAACGCGCGCGUAGGUGGCUUUAUAAGCCGGUUGUGAAAGCCCCGGGCUCAACCUGGGAACGGCAUCCGGAACUGUCAAGCUAGAGUGCAGGAGAGGAAGGUAGAAUUCCCGGUGUAGCGGUGAAAUGCGUAGAGAUCGGGAGGAAUACCAGUGGCGAAGGCGGCCUUCUGGACUGACACUGACACUGAGCUGCGAAAGCGUGGGUAGCAAACAGG
rnacentral:misc_RNA from 1 species